rnacentral:pre_miRNA from 1 species
UCCUCUUUGGUCCAGUGGUUCUCGACAGUUCAACAGUGAAGCAACAUUUGUGAAAUGUUUAGGACCACUGGAUCCGAG